GGGCGGUUAGCUCAGCGGUAGAGCGCCACCUUCACACGGUGGAUGUCGCAGGUUCGAUCCCUGCACCGCCCA
rnacentral:tRNA from 1 species